rnacentral:lncRNA from 1 species
CCCCCCCCAACUUCCACUCCAGGGGGUCUGUAAGUAACCUGGGGUUCAGCCUCUGCUCCUGAGACCCCCCAACUUCCACUUUAGGGGGUCUGUAAGUAAUCCGGGGUUCAGCCUCUGCUCCUGAGACCCCCCAGCUUCCACUCCAGGAGAUCCUUACCCCACUGCUGUUGGAAGCUUGGGGCCUGUUCUGGGAGCCUGUGUCUGAACCUCUUACCGGGGAUCCAUCUCUGAACCCUGUGCAGCCUGGCCCUGGCCCCAGGGGUAUAGGAGCUUCGCAGUGUCCUGAACCUGAUGUGGUUCUGCCCGUCCCUCCCCUGGCUUCACCCCACCUGGGCCAUUUGUCCUUUAUCCCAGGCACACUGUCACCCAGUGCUAGGAGCCACUGCUUGAGGAAGCCCGGGUUUGUCACUGCCUGCAGCCACAGACUACUCCUGCCUCAAAACGACGUCACGACACUGCAGAGCAGGCCAGCUCCAGCUGCACAUGGCCGCCUCCAUCUCUACACAGCUUUGAGUCACAGAAAUGUCACGUGACCUGCAGAAGCCAAGGGUCCUCCUCCUUGGGGGUCUCUUUUACUGACUCUGUGACUGCCAGCCGGGGAUCUUCUGCCCCCAGGGGACACCGGGCCAUGUCUGGGGACAUCUGUGGUUGUCUUGACUAGGGGUGCUCCUGGCAUGGAGUGGGUGGGGGCCAGGGAUGCUGCUCAGCACCCUGCAGUGCCCAGGACGGCCCCACCCUUGAGAACAGUUCAGUCCCAAUGUCCACAGGGCCCAGGGGGAGAGACCCAGCCCAACUCACAGAAGCCUCAGGACAGGUGAUGGUGGGCUGUGUCGACCACCUGUUCAUGAGAGAGACACAGGGAGGAGAGGGGGCACCUGCCAACCGUUUCAUGCGCUGGCAGAGACCGGGAAUAGCUUGGACAGAUCGUUCCUGGAUAACACAAGACAGCUUCCUGUUUCAAAAACAAAACUCCGGCUGGGAGCAGGAGCUCAUGCCUAUAAUCCCAGCACUUUGGGAGGCUGAGGCGGGCAGAUCACUUGAGCCCACAAGUUGGAGACCAGCCUGACCAACAUGGCGAAACCCCGUCUCUACUAAAAAUACAAAAAUCAGCUGGGUGUGGUGGCAGGUGCCUGUAAUCCCAGUAACUUGGGAGGCUGAGGCAGGAGAAUCGCUUGAACCUGGGAGGCAGAGGUUGCAGUGAGCCGAGAUCGCACUACUGCACUCCAGCCUGGGCGACAGAGCAAGACUUGGUCUCAAAAACACACAUAAAAAACCAAAACUCCAAGCGCAGAGCACCCAGUGCCAUCUUCAUCCGAAUGCAGCACUCCUGGCUGGGUCACGGCCACCCCUAGGCCCAUGCCUGGUCAGGGGCUUGUCUUGUCUAUGACCAGGCAGGUCACAGGCGGGAGGGACCCAGGUCAGGCUCAGCUGCUGCCCCACCGGAAACAGACCCAGCAGCCUUGCCUAGACCCCAGGCGGGUCCAGGUUUUUCUACUGGGACAGAGAGGGUGGGCCAGGAUGGGGGCGUCUCUCAGCUCUGCAAGCUGGAGAAUUAACUCCGGGACUUGAGCUCGGGGUCCCCGCUGGGCGCAGGCGUGGGCUUCAGUGGGAAGGAAGCCCCUCGUUGGGUUCUCAGCACGGACAGCUGGAUGGCAUCACUGGAUUCCCUCACCUGGAUCCGGAGACAAAAGGGGAGAAAACGAUGAGGCAGCGCCCAGGCCUGCGGGGUUGAGUCAGCCGUAAUAACAGCCCGUUGGCCCUACGUGUCUGUUGUUUGCAUUUCUGUUGCACAAGUUAUUAGCUCGGGGCGGGGCGGGACGGGGAGGUCGGUGGUAGAUGGGACGGUGUCUCCCAGCCCUUGGCACCAUCAGACUGUCCUGGCCAGCAGCUCUGGACCCUCUGCCCCACCGGGAAGAGAGGGGGCUGCGUCCCACCUGUUCCAGAUGCCAGCCUGCACGCAGCUUGUGCCCUGAGCUGUGUCUGCUUUUGG